AUUGAACGCUGACGGCAGGCCUAACACAUGCAAGUCGAGCGGAUGAAGGGAGCUUGCUCCUGGCUUCAGCGGCGGACGGGUGAGUAAUGCCUAGGAAUCUACCUGGUAGUGGGGGCUAAGGUCAGGAAGGGGGACCGAAUCCAACAUCGGUCCAGAGGGUGAACGGGGGGGUUCUUUGGACCAAAGCCUUUCUGAUGUCCCUAGGACGGAUUAGCUAGUUGGUGGGGUAAAGGCGUACCAAGGCGACGAUCCGUAACUGGUCUGAGAGGAUGAUCAGUCACACUGGAACUGAGACACGGUCCAGACUCCUACGGGAGGCAGCAGUGGGGAAUAUUGGACAAUGGGCGAAAGCCUGAUGCAGCCACGCCGCGUGUGUGAAGAAGGUCUUCGGAUCGUAAAGCACUGUAAGUAGGGAGGAAGGGCAGUAAGUGAAUCUCUGGCUGUCUUGACGGUACCAACAGAAUAAGCACCGGCUAACUUCGUG
rnacentral:rRNA from 1 species